rnacentral:rRNA from 1 species
UCGGGUUGAGUAGAGCGGCGGACGGGUGAGUAACGCGUAGGAAUCUACCUGGUAGUGGGGGACAACUCGGGGAAACUCGAGCUAAUACCGCAUACGCCCUGAGGGGGAAAGCGGGGGAUCUUCGGACCUCGCGCUAUUGGAUGAGCCUGCGUUGGAUUAGCUGGUUGGUGGGGUAAAGGCCUACCAAGGCGACGAUCCAUAGCUGGUCUGAGAGGAUGAUCAGCCACACCGGGACUGAGACACGGCCCGGACUCCUACGGGAGGCAGCAGUGGGGAAUAUUGCGCAAUGGGGGCAACCCUGACGCAGCCAUGCCGCGUGUGUGAAAGAAGGCCUUCGGGUUGUAAAAGCACUUUCACUUGGGAAGAAACGCUGUCGGUUAAUACCCGCCAGUUUUGACAUUACCUUGAGAAGAAGCACCGGCUAACUCCGUGCCAGCAGCCGCGGUAAUACGGAGGGUGCGAGCGUUAAUCGGAAUUACUGGGCGUAAAAGCGCGCGUAGGCGGUUUGUAACGUCGGAUGUGAAAGCCCCGGGCUCAACCUGGGAAUUGCCCCGAUACUGGCCGACUGGAGUGCGAGAAAGGGAGGUAAAAUUCCACGUGUAGCGGUGAAAUGCGUAGAUAUGUGGAGGAAUACCGGUGGCGAAGGCGGCCUCCUGGCUCGACACUGACGCUUAGGUGCGACAGCUGGGGAGCAAAAGGGAUAGAUACCCUGGUAGUCCACGCCGUAAACGAUGUCGACUAGCCCGUUGGGAACUUGAGUCCUUGGUGGGGCAGUUAACGCGGAUAAGUCGACCGCCUGGGGAGUACGGCCGCAAGGUUAAACUUCAUUGAAUUGCUGGGGCCGCCAAAGCGGUGGAGCAUGUGGUUAAAUCCGAUGCACGCGAAGAACCUUACCAGGCCUUGACAUCCUUGGAAUCCUGCAGAGAUGCGGGAGUGCCUUCGGGAAUCAAGUGACAGGUGCUGCAUGGCUGUCGUCAGCUCGUGUCGUGAGAUGUUGGGUUAAGUCCCGUAACGAGCGCAACCCCUGUCCUUAGUUGCCAGCGAGUAGAGUCGGGAACUCUAAGGAGACUGACGGUGACAAACCGUAGGAAGGUGGGGACGACGUCAAGUCAUCAUGGCCCUUACGGCCUGGGCUACACACGUGCUACAAUGGUACGCACGGAGGGCAGCGACCCCGCGAGGGUGAGCGAAUCCCACAAAACGUUUCGUAGUCCGGAUUGGAGUCUGCAACUCGACUCCAUGAAGUCGGAAUCGCUAGUAAUCGCGAAUCA